CUGUUGGAACAAAAACUGUAGUGCACAGACUGGAAUUUGUAAUUCUGGUUGUAUUGGAUUUAGUGACCCUCCAUUUUGCACAACAGGUUGUCUGCCUAGUACCUGGGGACUAAAUUGCUCAAACCAAUGCAGUCAACAUUGUGUGAAUUCUACAUGUAACAACAUCAAUGGCCAAUGUUUGUCUGGAUGUCAGGAUGGUUAUAGAGGUCUUAAUUGUAGUGAAGAAUGUGAUACAGGUAGCUGGGGUGAAAACUGCACUAAUCAAUGCUCAUCUAGAUGCUUUAAUCAAGAGUGUGAUAUACUAAGUGGCCUUUGUACUGACGGAUGUUUAGGAUAC
rnacentral:sRNA from 1 species